GGGGAAUUAGCUCAAGUGGUAGAGCGGUCGCUUAGCAUGUGAGAGGUACAGGGAUCGAUACAUUGAUUCUCCA
rnacentral:tRNA from 1 species